ACGAAAGUCUGACGGAGCAACGCCGCGUGAGUGAUGAAGGUCUUCGGAUUGUAAAACUCUGUCAUUCGGGAAGAACAAGUAUCGGUUGAACAAGCCGGUACCUUGACGGUACCGAAGGAGGAAGCCCCGGCUAACUACGUGCCAGCAGCCGCGGUAAUACGUAGGGGGCAAGCGUUGUCCGGAAUUAUUGGGCGUAAAGCGCGCGCAGGCGGUUCUUUAAGUCUGAUGUGAAAGCCCACGGCUCAACCGUGGAGGGUCAUUGGAAACUGGAGAACUUGAGUGCAGGAGAGGAAAGUGGAAUUCCACGUGUAGCGGUGAAAUGCGUAGAGAUGUGGAGGAACACCAGUGGCGAAGGCGACUUUCUGGCCUGUAACUGACGCUGAGGCGCGAAAGCGUGGGGAGCAAACAGGAUUAGAUACCCUGGUAGUCCACGCCGUAAACGAUGAGUGCUAGGUGUUAGGGGUUUCGAUACCCUUAGUGCCGAAGUUAACACAUUAAGCACUCCGCCUGGGGAGUACG
rnacentral:rRNA from 1 species